CCUACGGGGGGCAGCAGUGGGGAAUAUUGCGCAAUGGGGGCAACCCUGACGCAGCAACGCCGCGUGAUUGAAGAAGGCCUUCGGGUUGUAAAGAUCUUUAAUUGGGGACGAAACAAAUGACGGUACCCAAAGAAUAAGCUCCGGCUAACUACGUGACAGCAGCCGCGGUAAGACGUAGGGAGCAAGCGUUAUCCGGAUUUACUGGGUGUAAAGGGCGAGUAGGCGGGCUGGCAAGUUGGGAGUGAAAUCCCGGGGCUUAACCCCGGAACUGCUUUCAAAACUGCUGGUCUUGAGUGAUGGAGAGGCAGGCGGAAUUCCGGGUGUAGCGGUGAAAUGCGUAGAUAUUAGGAGGAACACCAGAGGCGAAGGCGGCUCACUGGACUGUAACUGACGUUGAGGCUCGAAAGCGUGGGGAGCAAACAGGAUUAGAUACCCCAGUAGUC
rnacentral:rRNA from 1 species